UAUAACGAUUGACGAAUAAUAUGAGAGAACUGCAGUGGUACCUAAUCAAAAAUAAAAUAAUAUAUAUAUUCACUGAAUGAAGAAUUCUCAUACGACCAUUUGGAUAGGAGUAAUAAAUUGUUAAUUCAAAACUAGUAUAGAUAACAGAUAAUACCAUCGUUAUUAGAAUUAUAAAAUAAGUUAAAUCUCUAAUCUUUGAACACCUUUGAUAUGAUCAGAAUAUUUUAAAUAUUGUAUAAUGUCUAGAAAAGCCCAAUUUAGGUUUUCUGUUAAAAUAUCUAAUCGAAAAUUUCUAACUGAAUUAUAAAAAAAAAAAAAAA